GCAGUUUUGUUUGGACUAUCGAUUGAUGGGAGGCCCAUCACUGAUCGUACUACUGGACUAGUAGAGUAUGGGGUAGCUGAUCAGGGAGAAGCACUGCGUCAUAUGUGCAAGCGAUUGUUAGGGGUGGUGCCACUUGAUAGAGAGAUGGUUGGUACCCGCAUUCGCAUGCAGUUUAUUGAGGGAGAGAUAUUUCACCAGCUCCUAGAAGAUGUAGAUGCGCAUACUGUAGCGUGCCACGCAUGAGCCCAUUUGUUGCGUUUGAUAUGUAGGACGCUAUUUUGCGACCUUACGGGGAGUUAUGCUCAUCUGAUGUUCCUCCCACUCCUUGCGGAGCUGACAGAAUAUGCUCGUAUAGUUAGGGGUCUGCAACAUUAACAUGGCUUUACAGGGAGAUGUGCCGCCCUGCUAACCAGUCGCGGUGGGAGAUCUAUGGCCCACUCUGCUUACUACAGGUUUGGGCCUAUGAGAGAGUCACUUCCUUGGCUCCUACAUGUCAUGGUGUCCUGCGUAUUGAGAGGGACGAGGACGGCCGUCCGAUUGACCCAGUCCCACUCACAUUCCGAUGGAGGGAUGUGUUAAGGGCGCCAUCAGUUGCCCAACAUACGUUGGCCUAGUAUAGGUUCGAGUUGGACAUGCACCGAGAGUAUGAGAUGAUAUUCUAGCCGACCUACCCACUAAUUAUGCAGUCGGAAGGGACCUGUGGGUAGCUCGAGUGCCACUCAUAUGCUUUCAUAUUAUCGAGUGGUAUUUUCCUAACCAAGUUAUGCGUCAAUUUGGCUAUCGACAAGGCAUUCCCGACCGCUUUUUGACCUCAGGGUAGAUGUACAUGGGGAGGACCUACACAAGAUUGAUGGACGCGGUCGAGGGGUCAUGAACUGGGCUGCUGAGCACCAGAUGUACAUGACUACAUGAUAUUAUCGGCGAGAGUACAUUAUACAAGGAGUGGUGGAGGAUGGUCUGAUCCGUCCGGAUGACCCAUUCUAUACGUGGCGUACGUACUACACGAGGUUGAUCUACUCUCUUUAGAUCCCGCUGUUCAGAGUCUAGCGAAAGCUGGAUUAGACCUUGUCCACGAGGACGGCCGACGAAUCCCUAUACCUCGACGGGCCCCGCCCCCAUGAGGAAGUUGAACAAAUCUAGUACGAGGAGGUUGAGCAGCUUCCUCCAGUCAUUCAUCGAGUGUGGUCUUCUCGCCAUCCGUUGUAUAAGCAGAGUAUGUAUUCGGCCCAUCCGCACCAUAUGCGCCUUUGAUGGCAGCCGAUAUUGCGGGUCCGUCUAGUAGAUAGGCAAACGCCUUGUCUGACUUUGCUACCACCCCCUUGAUGUCAUACCUAUUAGAUAACCUUCUCGAUGUGGAGGAGAUGGAUGCACUUGUUAUGCCACCUUGGUCUCGUCCAGAGCCUUUAUAUGCAUUAUCUCCCUAUCCGCUUUGCAUGGAUGUAGAUGAUGCAGCUUGUAUUGGCAAAGAUGCUGGACAUACAACACGUCAAUGGGAUAGCACACCAGACGCAGAGGAGAUUCCAGGAGAGGGCAGACGCUGACGGCAGCCACCCCGAAACCAGAGACGACCCUAUGCAGCACGUAGUAGUAUGAUCAAUUUUUUUUUUAUUUCAUUUGUACAACAUCUAUUUUUUAUUUUUUCAUUUGUAUAGCAUCGUUGUAUUAUUUAUGUACAUAAUUAGGAAUAUUUAUUCAUUUUCCACAGCAUGUAUAUGUGAAUGAAAUUUGUGUAUAAUAGGUGUGAAUGAAAGUUGUAAAUGAAUGUUGUGACCA